UACGGAGGGUGCAAGCGUUAUCCGGAUUCACUGGGUUUAAAGGGUGCGUAGGUGGGCAGGUAAGUCAGUGGUGAAAUCCCCGGGCUUAACUUGGGAACUGCCGUUGAUACUAUCUGUCUUGAAUACUUUGGAGGUAAGCGGAAUAUGUCAUGUAGCGGUGAAAUGCUUAGAUAUGACAUAGAACACCAAUUGCGAAGGCAGCUUACUACACAGUCAUUGACACUGAGGCACGAAAGCGUGGGGAUCAAACAGG
rnacentral:rRNA from 1 species